rnacentral:rRNA from 1 species
UGGCGGACGGGUGAGUAACGCGUGGAAAACCUGCCGUAUACUGGGGGAUAACACUUAGAAAUAGGUGCUAAUACCGCAUAAGCGCACAGCUUCGCAUGAAGCGGUGUGAAAAACUCUGGUGGUAUACGAUGGUUCCGCGUCUGAUUAGCUAGUUGGUGGGGUAAUGGCCUACCAAGGCAACGAUCAGUAGCCGGCCUGAGAGGGUGAACGGCCACAUUGGGACUGAGGCACGGCCCAAACUCCUACGGAAGGCAGCAG